GCGACUGUUUAACCGCCUCUUCAUGGCUUCAAGAUAAAAAAGUUAAAGAUUAUUCAGAUUUACUAGAACUAGAAUAUAUAAAAUUAUCCCUUUUCUUUAAAGACAAUUCAUUCUGUGUUUUUAUGUGUUUUCCUAUUUUAAGCUGAGAACUAAAACUUCAAAGCCCAGACUAAUUCCUGGGUAGCAGCGAGGCAGUAAGGAAAAGUCCAAACCCUACAUUUUGAUGGGAUUAAUGGGCCAAAAAGUCAAACCUUCCGUGUUCUUUUAAGAGACUGCAAGUAAAGCAGCUACCACGGGCUGCAGGAAUCUGCUAAUUAUCGAAGACGGGUGUGUGGAGGCAGGGAACAUGCUGGGAAGAGGGUCCUAAGGACUGACUUUGAAAACCUCUGGUCUUAAGGUUCAAUCAUUGUUGCCGCCAGAAAAUAAGCCUGCUACUAAAGGGGAGGAUGAUUGACAUGAUUAUUCCAGCAGCCAAUUAUUAAUUUAUCUUCUUCUCUAUGACUUUUUUUAUUUACGCCCUGAGGAGAAACUGUGUCACUGAGACACCAAUCAGUGCAUCGGCUCUUCUGGUCAUUAUGGUCCCCUAAACACUAAGCCUCCGUUCCCUUCGAGGGUCUGCCACAUUAAGGGCCGUCCCAAACCGGCCCUUAAGUAGAGAGUCUGCAUCCAUGCAGGCUCACUGGGUUAUGGAAGCAGGUGUGACGGGCAAACUGAUGAUGGA